GACCUCGAAUCAGUAGANACCCGUGAAUUAA
rnacentral:rRNA from 1 species